rnacentral:rRNA from 1 species
UGGGGAAUAUUGCACAAUGGGCGCAAGCCUGAUGCAGCCAUGCCGCGUGUGUGAAGAAGGCCUUCGGGUUGUAAAGCACUUUCAGCGGGGAGGAAGGCGUUAAGGUUACUAACCUUGGCGAUUGACGUUACCCGCAGAAGAAGCACCGGCUAACUCCGUGCCAGCAGCCGCGGUAAUACGGAGGGUGCAAGCGUUAAUCGGAAUUACUGGGCGUAAAGCGCACGCAGGCGGUCUGUCAAGUCGGAUGUGAAAUCCCCGGGCUCAACCUGGGAAGUGCAGUCGAAACUGGCAGGCUAGAGUCUUGUAGAGGGGGGUAGAAUUCCAGGUGUAGCGGUGAAAUGCGUAGAGAUCUGGAGGAAUACCGGUGGCGAAGGCGGCCCCCUGGACAAAGACUGACGCUCAGGUGCGAAAGCGUGGGGAGCAAACAGG